rnacentral:rRNA from 1 species
CUUUUGGAGUUCGACUUAGACAUGCAAGUUAGAUCGCAAGAUCAGCGUACGGCUCAGUAACACGUGGGCAACUGCCCUAAGGACCGGCAUAACCUUGGGAAACUGAGGGUAAUAUCGGAUAUUGCAAGGCAAUUGGAAAAUACCUUGCUUCAAAUCAUUUAUGGCCUUAGGAUGGGCCUGCGGCAGAUUAGCCUGUUGGUGGGGUAAUGGCCCACCAAAGCAAUAAUCUGUACGGGCGAUGGGAGUCGGAGCCCGGAGAGGGGGACUGAGACAAGGCCCCCAGCCCUACGGGGUGCAGCAGUUACGAAAACUUUACAAUGCGCGAAAGCGUGAUAGGGGAACUCCAAGUGAUUACACACAUGUGUAAUCUUUUGCCAUGUGCAAAUAGCUUGGCGAAUAAGGGCUGGGUAAGAUUCGUGCCAGCCGCCGCGGUAAUACGGACAGCCCGAGCGGUACUCGUGAAUAUUGGGCUUAAAGCGUUCGUAGCUGGUCCAGUAAGUUUUCUGUGAAAUCUUGUGGCUCAACUGCAAGAAGUGCAGAAAAUACUGUUGGACUUGGAGGCGGGAAAGGUCAGGGGUACUUGUGGGGUAGCGGUAGAA